GAUGAACGCUGGCGGCGUGCCUAAUACAUGCAAGUCGAGCGAAUGGAUUAAGAGCUUGCUCUUAUGAAGUUAGCGGCGGACGGGCGAGUAACACGUGGGUAACCUGCCCAUAAGACUGGGAUAACUCCGGGAAACCGGGGCUAAUACCGGAUAACAUUUUGAACCGCAUGGUUCGAAAUUGAAAGGCGGCUUCGGCUGUCACUUAUGGAUGGACCCGCGUCGCAAUUAGCUAGUUGGUGAGGUAACGGCUCACCAAGGCAACGAUGCGUAGCCGACCUGAGCGGGUGAUCGGCCACACUGGGAAUGAGACACGGCCCAGACUCCUACGGGAGGCAGCAGUAGGGAAUCUUCCGCAAUGGACGAAAGUCUGACGGAGCAACGCCGCGUGAGUGAUGAAGGCUUUCGGGUCGUAAAACUCUGUUGUUAGGGAAGAACAAGUGCUAGUUGAAUAAGCUGGCACCUUGACGGUACCUAACCAGAAAGCCACGGCUAACUACGUGCCAGCCGCCGCUGUAA
rnacentral:rRNA from 1 species